GAUGAACGCUGGCGGCGUGCCUAAUACAUGCAAGUCGAGCGAACGGACGAGAAGCUUGCUUCUCUGAUGUUAGCGGCGGACGGGUGAGUAACACGUGGAUAACCUACCUAUAAGACUGGGAUAACUUCGGGAAACCGGAGCUAAUACCGGAUAAUAUUUUGAACCGCAUGGUUCAAAAGUGAAAGACGGUCUUGCUGUCACUUAUAGAUGGAUCCGCGCUGCAUUAGCUAGUUGGUAAGGUAACGGCUUACCAAGGCAACGAUGCAUAGCCGACCUGAGAGGGUGAUCGGCCACACUGGAACUGAGACACGGUCCAGACUCCUACGGGAGGCAGCAGUAGGGAAUCUUCCGCAAAGGGCGAAAGCCUGACGGAGCAACGCCGCGUGAGUGAUGAAGGUCUUCGGAUCGUAAAACUCUGUUAGUAGGGAAGAACAUAUGUGUAAGUAACUGUGCACAUCUUGACGGUACCUAAUCAGAAAGCCACGGCUAACUACGUG
rnacentral:rRNA from 1 species